CAUUCAAGAAUCAAGGUGCAGGAUGUCGGUAAGUUUCAAACAUUCUGUAGAAGGUAUCAAAAACAGUUUCCAGGAAGAAUAGUGGUUUAUUGACGCAGAAGGGUGUACAUUUUCCCCAAAUUGAAGUUCGAUAAGCUGAAAAAAUCGUUUCAGUUAGAAGCUGGGUUUGCUGUAUAUGCGAAGAGAAAUUCAAAAUUCGGAAAUGGAGUAGAUAAAAUCCAGGCUGUAUAUGUUUCAUAGGUAAGAGAAACCACGGAAGUAGCAAUAGUUCAAACGAGGGGUAAUCCGCUAGCUACUUGUCGGGCCAAGAUACGUUAAUCCAAUGAAAUUUACAUUGUCGUCAAGGGAUCCCAUAUUGACACAUAUGAGAUUUGAUCGAAAAUGCAUAUAUGUUAUAUAUAUAUAUAGCAAUGUUAAAUCUCUGAACGAGGUAUUAACAGUAACUGCACGACAAAGUGAAGUAUAUUUGCCACUUAAAUGUGGCUGACCCCUAAGGGUGGAUGUUACUGUUGUUUUUAGCCCAAGGAGAACAUCUCCAAGAUGGGAAAGAUAACUUCCCUUUGCAAAUAUAGACAGGACACAGAUGUGUGUCGAUAGCCAGCUGGAGAAGUUUUUCUGGGUUAAAAGCAACAGUAACACCCACUCUUAGGAGUCAGCCACAUUUAAGUAGCAAAUAUACUUCACCUUAUAUAUAUAUAUAUAUAUAUAUAUAUAUAUAUAUACACAGUGUGUGUGUGUGUGUGAGAGAGAGAGAGAGAGAAAGAGGGAGAGGAUGGAACUACACAAGGACAGAUAGUAGAAGAGUCAUUGUUUCUGUUUCUCUCUCUCACUCCUCCUCUUUCUCCUUGACUCUAUCGUCGUUUAGACGUGACGAAAGGAGUUUUCUCUUUCUGCCCGCUACCUUCCUAAAGAACAGACGUGUUUUGUCUGUCUCUUCUAUCAUGGCACUUCUACUUAGCGUUUAUAACAAUUUUUCUAUCGUCUUGGCUCAACAGCCCUCACCAUUUGUUUUCACUGUCUUGUUGUCACUGUCUUUUUUUUAUUGUUUUUAUUGUCUUGUUCUCACUGUCCUAUUCCUGUUAACACUCUCACCCUCCGCAAAUAAUUCAAAUUUAUUUAAUUUGCUUUGUGGGAAGAACUGUUCCAACGAAGUCGCGUAUUGUCCUUGCCUUCGAAACGCGAAGUAGAUGGAACAGGAACAACUGACGAAGAGAGUUUGAAAUUCUACUACCUCCACCGGUGAAUCACAUGUGCCAUAAAUAAACGUCUAAAGUGAGGUGAUCUCAAAUGGCGAAAAGCACCAUCGAUCUGAUAUUCACAUUGGAAUCUCUCAAAAUAUAUUCAGUAUGGAUACGUUAUUGUUUGGAUUCUCUCUGUUCGGCGUGCAUCUCAUGAAUUAAUAUUCUAUCUGAUAUAUUAAAAAGCAUAUACAGUGAGAAUUAAAGCAACAAUUCUACAGUUUAAAUUCCAGUAUCAUUAAAAUAUACGAUAGAAUUUGAAAGCAGCAUCACCGUGCAACGCAGAAUGCAUUGUUUCUCCAAACUAUUUACUAUCGAUAAUGAUAAUAUCUGGAAUUAUGUUGUACACUGUUGCGGAACAACAACAAGCAAUGUUUUCAAAUUCGAAUAUUGUGUUUAGAUUACAAUGCAAAUGUAAGAUAUACUCUAGCAAACACCAGCUCACACAUGGCCUGCUGAAAUUAAAGCCACAUGUGCCGAUGGGUCAUGCUAAUAUCAGAAAUUUACAACUGUUUGAAAUUUUUUGUUGACACAUGUUCAAAAUGGAGAGAAAUUAUUGGAUGUAAAUAAAGGCAUAUCAAAUUGAUCACAAUAUAUCCAUUAACAUGAUCAAUAACUAGAGCUGCGGUAAUUAUGUUUCGUCGUGAAUAAUUACAAUGACGCGGCAUAGCAUACAUACAUCAAAGGAGGCUAAUGUAAGACGGAAGCUAACGUAAGAAAUAAAAGUGUAAGAAUUGAAAGUAAAA